rnacentral:lncRNA from 1 species
UGGAGCUUGGGAUGUUCUCGAUGGCCCUGGGACGUCCUUGGAUGGACCUGGGACCUUCUUAAGGACGUCGUGGAUGGAGCUGGCACCUUGGCGUGUCCCUCACUGGCCUUGUCACCCUCUUGGGGACAGCGGAGAUGGACCUGGGGGACAUCCCCGAUGGAGCUGGGACCUUCUUGUUGUUGGGGGAGGAACAUCAUCGUUGAUGGACUUGAGGCCGUGGGGACAACCUUGGUGACCUGGGGACAUCUCGUGCUGGCCCAGGUCACCAGGAGGCCACCUUGGGUGGCCUCAGGACACGUGGGGACAUCCUCAAGGGCCACGGGGACGUCCUUGGUGGCCCAGGAACCUUUGGGGGGGGGGGAACAUCUCUGGUGGCUUCCAGGCAGCCAUCUUGGGUGGCCCGGCUUCUCCUGGGAGGGACAUCCCCCUGGUGGCCUUGGGGACAUCUCUGGUGGCUUCUGGAGACAUCUCUGGUGGCUUCUUG